GAUGAACGCUGGCGGCGUGCCUAAUACAUGCAAGUCGAGCGAACAGAUAAGGAGCUUGCUCCUUUGACGUUAGCGGCGGACGGGUGAGUAACACGUGGAUAACCUACCUAUAAGACUGGGAUAACUUCGGGAAACCGGAGCUAAUACCGGAUAACAUAUUGAACCGCAUGGUUCAAUAGUGAAAGGCGGCUUUGCUGUCACUUAUAGAUGGAUCCGCGCCGUAUUAGCUAGUUGGUAAGGUAACGGCUUACCAAGGCAGCGAUACGUAGCCGACCUGAGAGGGUGAUCGGCCACACUGGAACUGAGACACGGUCCAGACUCCUACGGGAGGCAGCAGUAGGGAAUCUUCCGCAAUGGGCGAAAGCCUGACGGAGCAACGCCGCGUGAGUGAUGAAGGUCUUCGGAUCGUAAAACUCUGUUAUCAGGGAAGAACAAAUGUGUAAGUAACUGUGCACAUCUUGACGGUACCUGAUCAGAAAGCCACGGCUAACUACGUG
rnacentral:rRNA from 1 species